rnacentral:rRNA from 1 species
CCUACGGGUGGCAGCAGUGAGGAAUAUUGGUCAAUGGACGAGAGUCUGAACCAGCCAAGUAGCGUGAAGGAUGACUGCCCUAUGGGUUGUAAACUUCUUUUAUAUGGGAAUAAAAUGUUCCACGUGUGGGAUUUUGUAUGUACCAUAUGAAUAAGGAUCGGCUAACUCCGUGCCAGCAGCCGCGGUAAUACGGAGGAUCCGAGCGUUAUCCGGAUUUAUUGGGUUUAAAGGGAGCGUAGGUGGAUUGUUAAGUCAGUUGUGAAAGUUUGCGGCUCAACCGUAAAAUUGCAGUUGAAACUGGCAGUCUUGAGUACAGUAGAGGUGAGCGGAAUUCGUGGUGUAGCGGUGAAAUGCUUAGAUAUAACGAAGAACUCCGAUUGCGAAGGCAGUUCACUGGACUGUAACUGACACUGAGGCUCGAAAGUGUGGGUAUCAAACAGGAUUAGAUACCCUAGUAGUC